rnacentral:misc_RNA from 1 species
CGCGCCAAGGUGCGGGAAGCAGUGUGCCGGCGAGACAGCCGCGAGCGAGCCGGCCAGCGCGCCGCUCCGAGACGGCAGGCGAGUGACGUGACGUGACGAGACGUGGGUGUCGGGAGUGAGUGAGUGACGGUGCCGGCAUCUGUGACGGCUGUGACGGUGGCCGUGACAUCUGUGACGCGCGCACGUGCGGCGGCGGCGUGACGGCGCCCGUGGGUAGCGCGUGCCGAGGAGUGGCCGGCGGUAUCGGACACGGACUCGCCUCUGAAUGUGAUGCGUCUCCGGGCGGCGGCGCGGCUCAGGUGACAGUGUCUGUGAGAUGUGUCCUGUGAGAGAGCGGUGAGACGCCCGCGGUGAGAUGGACCGCGGUGAGAUGGACCGCGGUGAGAUGUCCGCGCGGCCCGGCACCCGGCGGCUGCUGGCGGUGCUGCUGCUGACGGUGAUGGGCCCAGCGGCCGUGUCCGCCGGCUGCCCCUCCAUGUGCCGCUGUGGAUCGGACGCGGUCGUCUGCUCCGACCUGCGGCUGACUGCUAACAUCACCGAGCUAGAUCUGAGCAACAAUAACUUCCAGAGCAUCCCACCCGACUUGUACAAAACGUUCCCGUCUGUUGUUAAGCUUGAUCUCAGCCAUAACCGAAUAGGCAAAGUGCCGGCGAGCGCCUUCCAGCGGCUGCGUCUCAGAUCGCUGUCACUGGCGUGGAACCGGAUCGAAGCGUUAGCCCCCGAGGCCAUGUAUGGGCAAUUACGGCUCACCAAACUGGAUCUGCGAAACAAUCGUCUCAGCGAGGUGACGGAGCCCAGCUUCCGUCCACUGCGGAGGCUGGAAGAACUGUUCCUGGACAGGAACAUGUUUAGCAGCAUUCCAAGCAAGGCUCUGGCACCUCUCACAAGACUAAAAGCGCUGAGUCUCGAGGGCAACCAGUUGACAUCGCUGCCUGACAACGCGCUCAGCACGCUGGAAAACCUGCAGCUGCUGAAUCUGAAGAACAACUACCUACAGGAUAUCGAUGAUGAGGCGUUCGCAGGACUCAGCCAGCUCCGAGUGCUAGAGCUGGAGGGGAACCUUUUGACGGACAUUCCGAAGGCGAUCGGUCGCCUCACUGCCGUCCAGACUAUUCAGCUGUCGAGCAACCGUCUGACGUACGUCAAGGAAGGGGUGCUGCAGCGGGCUCCGUCGCUGGAGAAGCUGGAGCUGGGCGGUAACCCGAUCCUCACCGUCGACAGAGACGCCUUCGCCAACCUGCCGCGCCUCAAGGAACUCAAACUGUCUGGUGUGAAGGAGCUGAGUGUGUUCCCCAAUCUGAACGGGACCGGGCAGCUACUGGACCUGCGGAUCUACGGCAGCAAGCUGACGGCGGUGCCGGACGACCUGUGCUCCAUAGCGCCGCGACUGCGGAGAAUAUAUCUGCCAUCGAAUAGCCUCCGAGCUCUGCCGAAGCUGGACCAGUGUGUCGACCUCCGACUACUAGACGUCUCGUAUAACGCCAUCGAGUCAAUCUCCGGCCAGCUGUUUCGACAUCAGGAUCAGCUGCACGACCUGCUGCUGAGAGACAACAAGAUCGCAGAUCUUCCCGGCGACACCUUCGUCGGACUCACCGGCCUCCUCAUACUUGACCUGCGAGCCAACAAGAUCGCCAACAUCGCCGACGACGCGUUCGAGCCGCUGUCCCGUCUGCAGCGGCUCAACCUGAACGACAACCAGUUCCCGCGUCUGCCGCACCGCGGCCUCUCCAGCGUGAUGCACCUGCACUGCAGCAACAUGCUGGAGCUGCGCGAGUUCCCGGAGCCCGAGCAGCUGCCGCAGCUGCACUCUGUGGAGGUCAGCUACGCCUACCACUGCUGCCAGUUCCGCGGUCGGAAGACGCCCAGGAACGCGUCCCUGGACCAGCUGCAGGAAACGGUCAUCUUCGCCAGCGCCGACCAGCUCGGUCUGAUUGGCGGAGAGCUCUCCUGGAGCGAAGUCAGCCUCGACAACCUGACCCUGGAGGACUACAUUGACCCAGACGACCCGAGCCUGUUUGACCUCGGGUCACCCUCCGACGAGCCUCCGACGGAGAUCCGCUGCUCGCCUUCGCCCUCUCCGUUCAUGCCGUGUGAGGAUCUGUUUGACUGGUGGACCCUGCGCUGCGGCGUCUGGGUGGUGUUCCUGCUCGCUCUCCUCGGAAACGGCACCGUCGUCUUCGUACUGGUGUUCGCCAGAAGUAAAAUGGACGUGCCCCGGUUCCUCGUCUGCAACCUGGCCGCCGCCGACUUCUUCAUGGGAGUCUACCUCGGAUUCCUGGCCGUGGUGGACGCCUCCACUCUGGGCAAGUUCCGUCAGUACGCCAUCGCCUGGCAGAUGUCUGCCGGCUGCAAACUGGCCGGCUUCCUCGGCGUGCUCAGCUCCGAACUGUCUGUUUUCACGCUGGCCGUCAUCACCAUGGAACGCAACUAUGCCAUCACGCACGCCAUGCACCUCAACAAGCGGCUCUCUAUCAAGCACGCCAGCUACAUCAUGGCCUGCGGCUGGCUGUUCGCGCUGGUGAUGGCCACGCUGCCGCUCGUGGGAGUUUCCGACUACCGGCGCUUCGCCGUGUGCCUGCCCUUCCAGACGGCCGGCGCCGGAACCAGCUACGUCGUACUGCUCAUGUUCUUCAACGGGCUGGCCUUCACCAUCCUGAUGGGCUGCUACUGGAAGAUGUACUGCGCCAUCCGAGGCAGCCAGGCCUGGAACUCGAACGACUCCAGGAUCGCCAAAAGAAUGGCUUUGCUCGUCUUCACCGAUUUCCUCUGCUGGGCUCCGAUCGCGUUCUUCGCAGUGACGGCGGCUUUUGGCGUACGUCUUAUCGACCUUUCCGGAGCGAAGGUGUUCACUGUCUUCAUCCUGCCGUUCAACUCCUGCUGCAACCCGUUCUUGUACGCCAUCAUGACCAAGCAGUUCAAGAAGGACUGUGUCAUGAUAUGUAAGGCGAUCGAAGAGUCGCGCGUUACUCGCGGUAUCGGUCGCUGUCGCCACAGCAGUAACUUCAGCAACCGGCACACCCCGGCGAACACCAACAGCCUGGCGGACCGCGCCUCCAAGGAGAGCAAGGACAGCGCCCAGUGCAGCUGCAGCCAGCGCCUGCUGCACGAGCCGCUCAAACCGCCGACCCGCAGUCGCUGGGACACCUUCCGAACUCUCUGGUGUCCUGCACAGCCCAAGGACCCGCUGGACUCGAGCAACGACUACGCCUACCAGAUCGCCGAGAUCCAAAAGAACCAGGAGAAGAACAAACGUAACGCCAGCCUGUCGAGCGAUAACUUCAGCUCGUCACGUUCGGACUCACUUCGCGCCCAGAACGGCAUGCACCGUUUCGUACCGAACCGGCGCCGUAACUCAUGGACUGUAACGCGCAAGCCUUCUCAGGACUCGAAUCUCAGCAGCUCGCGAAACGACUCGUCGGCGACAGCAGGCUCCAACACGACGCAAUCUUGGAGACUAAGCCGCUCCAGCGUUUCUAGUGACAUGAGCAGCACAGCUCUGCAGCGAGGCCAGGGCAGUCUGCACAAGUCCAGUCUGGUGGACGGCGCAGAACGUACAGGAAGCUUCAGAGGCCAUCCUCUGCGGCCGACCGUGGUGCGGCAGAACUCAGGCAUUCCGCUGUCGCACCCGGCCGGUGCCUCCCACGGCCUCCACCACCCGCACGGUCUGCACCACGGGCUCCAUCACGGCCUGCACCACCAGCACCCGCUGCUGAAGCAGGCCUCCUCCGGCGGUAUCCUCAAGCCGAAGCCGAAGCUGACGCGGCAGAUUGCCUUCUCCGACGAGGCGGCUGCCGCAGCGGCGGCGGCGGUGGCGGCCGGCGGCGGCACCCAGGUGCCGGGCCGACAUCACGAGAGCAGCUGCCCGCUGCACUGCGCCGAGCCGCCGCCGCGCCGACACUCGCGCUUCCACAACAUCUACAGCAAGCUCACCGAGUCUAGUCAGGAGGAGUCGUCGGGAGUCGACGACGGUGUGGCUCUGGACGACAGCGAGAGCGGCGCCGUCGGCGGCGUCGCGGCCGCACCGCUGCCGGGCGCAGUCGGCGGCACUCCCGCCCAGGUCAAGGUCGAGGGGCGCAACGGCGGCCUGACGGUGGCGUUCGUGCCGCGGAAACUCAGUACAAUCUCCUCUCAGAGCUACAGUCUGCAGAGGGAGAGCCACACCAACCUGAACCAGGUCAGCCCGGAGGAGGCCGAUGCAGGAGCGGGCACCGUGGCGGCGGCGGUGGAGAGCGGCCUGUCCCAGUCCCAGCCGCUCCCGCCAGAGUCGUCCCUGGCAGCGCCUUCGACCGCCGCCAUCGAGAAGGCGCACAGUGCCGGCGACGUGCGGCAGCUGGCGGCGCGGCCGCGGCCAUUUUCCUCUGACACGUGCAUCUCCCGCGCGGCGCCGCGCCGAGGGACCCCAGCGGGCCCGCUCGCCCUGCCGGCGGAGGCUGAUCCACCCAGGCCUCCGUCGCCCAGCGGAAUCGAGACCUGUCUGGCCGGUGACGAGGGCUUCGACGACAUCGACGAUGUGGACGAGGACGAUGUGCUGGUGAUGGGCGGCGCGGCGGGCGCGGCCGGCGGCGAGCAGGCCGUGCCGCUGCUCUGGAACGCCGACCGGCCCGCGUCCCCGCCCACCCCGCGGGACAGUCCCAGCCCCAGUCCCAGUCCGGAACCCACGGUGGAUGUCUGAGGGACUCUCCCAGUGAACUGCGAACUGUUCGCGUAGACUAGCCAAAUGGACGUUCGUCAGCCGCGCAUGCGUCAAGCCCACAGCGCUAUUCCAAGGGCGGGGGUUGACGUCAGUGUCCGCGGCCGCUGGACAGUGUGGGACGGGACGAGAUGCUCUGUGUCCCACCCGGCUUCCGCCCGAACUCAAGCGCAAAGAGAAGCGCAUCAAAUUAAACCGUAAACGUUUAAAUGUUGACGCUAUUUUAAAUGAAAUAGUAAAGCAUAAUGUACCUCAUGAGAAAAUCUCGUCAACCUUUUAUGUUUAUGUACAUUGUAAUUUUGACAGUCGGUCCAACCGUUGGUCCGCCAGCCGGGACAGUCAGCAGUCGGUCCGCAAUCUCUCGAUGCUCGGGGACCGGUGAGUCGUUCUCUGACCGGCGGAGGCCGGUGCAGUAUGGCCGGCGGCAGGCGCUCAGGGGUGACGUUUGUGAGGGUGCGGCGGCGGCGGGGGUUCCCAGCGCUGGCUCUGCAGCCCCGGGCCGGCUCCGUUCCGCGGCACGGCCGGCCGCCCAGUUCCUCUGUGUCGGUAGACAGUAGCUGUGGCAAUCUGAGUCCAAGUGUGAUUGUUGUGUCUGCUGUGCCGCCGUGCGCUGAGGGUGCCAGUUUGUAUGCGUGGGUGCGCGACUGCAGUGUGCGUGCCUGACAUGGUGUAUAUGUAUUUGUGAUAAAUUAUUUCCAAUUUUUAUUUAAAGCCAUCCGUGUUGCAUGUGACCGGUGACCGUGACAGUAUUGGUUGCUGUCGGACGUUUUCUAUGUAAAAUAUAAUGACGUGUACAGCAGACGAAGCUGCCAUCCAUAACGUGAACUGCAUCCUCCUGUUCGCUGCAGAUAUACAUAUUAGUGUUGAACGAAGUUUACGUCAAAUAAAAUAACGACGAAAACAAA